GGUGGAUGAUGUGGAUUAAUUCGAUGCAACGCGAAAACCUUACCUACCCUUGACAUGCCCGGAAGCCGGAUGAGAGUUCGGUGUGCUCGAAAGAGAGCCGGGACACAGGUGCUGCAUGGGCUGUCGUCAGCUCGUGUCGUGAGAUGUUGGGUUAAGUCCCGCAACGAGCGCAACCCCUACGUUUAGUUGCUAAUAGGUGAAGCUGAGCACUCUAGACGAACUGCCGUUGACAAAACGGAGGAAGGUGGGGAUGACGUCAAAUCAUCAUGCCCCUUAUGUUCUGGGCUACACACGUGCUACAAUGGCCGGUACAGACGGAGGCGAAGCCGCGAGGCGGAGCAAAUCCGAAAAAGCCGGUCUCAGUUCGGAUUGCAGGCUGCAAUUCGCCUGCAUGAAGUCGGAAUCGCUAGUAAUCGCAGGUCAGCAUACUGCGGUGAAUACGUUCCCGGGCCUU
rnacentral:rRNA from 1 species